rnacentral:lncRNA from 1 species
ACUAUGAGGCCGGUUUGAAAGACCUCCCUUUCUUGAGAGGUUUUCUUUUAGUACAAUACAAUGUUCUAAUCAGCCUCUUCUAUGGUAGUUUUAGUUGUGUAAAAAGCCUCCACUACCAUUUCAAUAGGAGGGUGUCAUUCGUUGUAUCACAAUCCAAUACCUGCACACACUAAUCUUCUACGCUACCAACAAGGCUCCCCUUUUUGUGCCUAGUCCUCUAUUCCAGAAGAAGUCUCUUCGUAACAAUUCAACUCAUCUUAAUUAUUACCUAUUUCGACGCCAAGUUCACCUACUUCACUCCGCCACUUCUCGAGAGCAGUUUUGCCUACUGUUUGGUUGAUGCAUCCUUGAACUUUAUUGAUGAUACCUGACAUCUCUUCUUUCCUUAACGUUUUGUUCAACAACAAUAGGUCCAAAUACCUUGUUAGGAACUUUCACACCUUGCACUCUAUAAUGGUGGCUAGCUACUUUGCCUAAUCUCUUUUAUUUUUCAUGUAGAAGAUCUAUACUUUUUUUCUUUUCUUAAUCUUUAACCCAGGAGACCCAUUCAAAUAGACUCAAUAAGAAUUUAAGGUUCCUCACAUAUUUAUUCAUGGGAUCACAAAAGAAAAUAAUGUCAUCUCUGUACACAGGGACGAAGCCAGAAAUUAAAAUUCGGAGGGGGCAAGAUUUAGAUUUGAUAGGAAAAAAAUUCAACCUAGCUCAGAUAAUAAGAAAAAAAAUUUGUCAGAUUCACUGAUUAGUUAUUACUAACAACAAUAAUGACAAUAUGCUUAAAGAGGAAUAAGACUAUAAGAGUUGAAGGGAAAGGACCAAGAAAUUUGAAAAAAAAAAUUAAGACGGAAAUUUUAUUAAAAAAAUUAAUUUGGCCCCCUAAAAUUAAAAUUUAUAAUAUUUUAAUUUUUAUUACAAAGGACUUUUAUGUAAAUUUUAAAAAGUUAGGGGGGCCAUGGCCACUGUGGGCCCCUCA